GAUGAAGAACGCGGCGAAAUGCGAUAAGUAAUGCGAAUUGCAGAAUUCAGUGAGUCAUCGAACCUUUGAACGCACAUUGCGCCCUGUGGUAUUCCGCAGGGCAUGCCUGUUCGAGCGUCAUUUCAACCCUCAAGCCCCGCUUGGUGUUGGGCCCCGCCCGCCGUGGCCGGCCCUAAAGACAGUGGCGGCGCCGCCUGGCCCUCAGCGUAGUACAGCUCUCGCUCCAGGGUCCGGCGGCCGCCUGCCAGAACCCCCCCAACUCUGUGGUUGACCUCGGAUCAGGUAGGGAUACCCGCUGAACUUAAGCAUAUCAAUAAGCGGAGGA
rnacentral:misc_RNA from 1 species